rnacentral:rRNA from 1 species
AUUGAACGCUGGCGGCGGGCCUAACACAUGCAAGUCGAGCGGUGAAGGGUGGUUUGCGCCUUAAUUGAGCGGGGGACGGGUGGGUAAGUCCCGGGAGUGUGCUUGGUAUUGGGGGACAAGGUUUCAAAAGGAACGCAAUUACCGUAUCGCACCAACGGGAGAAACCAGGGGACUUUGGGUCCUUGCGCUAUUAGCUGCACCUAGGUCGGAUUAGCUGGUUGGUUAGGUAAUGGCUCACCAAGGGGACGACCAGUGACUGGUCUGAGAGGCUGACCAGCCACACUGGAACUGGGACACGGUCCAGACUCCUCCGGGAGGCAGCAGUGGGGAAUAUUGGACAAUGGGCGAAAGCCUGAUCCAGCCAUGCCGCGUGUGUGAGGAAGGUCUUCGGAUUGUAAAGCACUUUAAGUUGGGAGGACGGGUUGUAGAUUAAUACUCUGAAAUUUUGACGUUACCGACAGAAUAAGCACCGGCUAACUCUGUG